UACGGGGGGGGCAAGCGUUGUUCGGAAUUACUGGGCGUAAAGGGCUCGUAGGCGGCCAACUAAGUCGGACGUGAAAUCCCCAGGCUCAACCUGGGAACUGCGUCCGAUACUGGAUGGCUUGAAUUCGGGAGAGGGAUGCAGAAUUCCAGGUGUAGCGGUGAAAUGCGUAGAUAUCUGGAGGAAUACCGGUGGCGAAGGCGGGUCUCUGGGCCGAUACUGACGCUGAGGAGCGAAAGCGUGGGGAGCGAACAGG
rnacentral:rRNA from 1 species